AGUGAACGCUGGCGGUAGGCCUAACACAUGCAAGUCGAACGGCAGCACAGUAAGAGCUUGCUCUUACGGGUGGCGAGUGGCGGACGGGUGAGGAAUACAUCGGAAUCUACUUUUUCGUGGGGGAUAACGUAGGGAAACUUACGCUAAUACCGCAUACGACCUACGGGUGAAAGCAGGGGAUCUUCGGACCUUGCGCGAUUGAAUGAGCCGAUGUCGGAUUAGCUAGUUGGCGGGGUAAAGGCCCACCAAGGCGACGAUCCGUAGCUGGUCUGAGAGGAUGAUCAGCCACACUGGAACUGAGACACGGUCCAGACUCCUACGGGAGGCAGCAGUGGGGAAUAUUGGACAAUGGGCGCAAGCCUGAUCCAGCCAUACCGCGUGAGUGAAGAAGGUCUUCGGGUUGUAAAGCCCUUUUGUUAGGAAAGAAAAGCAGCAUGUUAAUACCCCGCUGUUCUGACGGUACCCAAAGAAUAAGCACCGGCUAACUUCGUG
rnacentral:rRNA from 1 species